rnacentral:lncRNA from 1 species
CUAGCUCUAUGUUACGAUCCCCAACAUCGUUAAGCAAGUCUCGAAAGUAUGUCUGCCACCUCUGCUUGACUUGAGACUCCCCCAUCAGAACUCUACCAUCCUCGCCCUUGAUGCACCUAGCUUGGUCAAGAUCAUGCGCCUUUCUUUCCCUUGCUUUAGCUAACCGGAAUAACUUCCUAUCCCCGCAUUUCUCCCCUAAUUCCUCGUACAUGCGAUAAAACACCGCAUUUUUAGCUUCCGUAACCGCCAUCUUUGCUUCUUUCCUCACCACCUUGUAGAUCUCCAUGUUCGCCCUCUAUUCUUCCUCGCUUAUGUUCCCUGCCAACUUAGCAAACGCCGCCUUCUUCACUUCACUUUUCCUUCGACUAUAUCAUUCCACCACCAGUCGCCCUGAUGCCUGCCUGAAUAGCCCCUGGCUACCCCGAGCACAUCCCGUGCUACCUCCCUAACCAAGUUCUCCGUCUCUGACCACAUAGCGUCCGCUUCCCAGAACUACUCCAAGCUCCGCCCUCAGCUAACCUCCUCUCCAGCUCAUGUGCUUUCUCCUUAGUCAAAACACCUCAUCUAAUCCGCGGUUGUCCCCGAGCACCCCUCCUCUUCCUCUUCAUCUAGAGACCGACAUCCAUCACUAGGAGUCUAUGAAGAGUCGAAAGGGACUCUCCCGGAAUAACCUUGCAG